rnacentral:rRNA from 1 species
AAAAACAUUGCUUAGUGAUAUAGCUCACAAAUACCAAGUAACUCUGCCCAGUGAAAUAAUUUUAACGGCCGCGGUACUCUGACCGUGCAAAGGUAGCACAAUAAUGAGCCUCUUAAUUAGAGGAUAGAAUGAAAGAAAUAACAAGAUAAAAUCUAUCUAUUUUAUAUAAUUUAAAACUUAUUUAUAGGUGAAAAAGCCUAUUUUUAUUAUAAAGACAAAAAGACCCUAUAAAGCUUCAAUAAUAUCUUAUAAAUUACAUAAGAAAAAUUUAGUUGGGGCGACUACAAGAAUCACACACUUUAAAUAAAUAAGAAAAAUAAUUCAUUUUAACUAGCUUCUCACAUAUAAGUAAGUUACUUUAGGGAUAACAGGCUAGUUCUUCCUAAGAGUACAUAUCAAAGGAAGAGUUCAGCACCUCGAUGUUGGCUUAGGAAAUCAAUUUUAUGCAGAAGUAAAAUAAGAAGGUUUGUUCAACCUUUUAUCUCCUACAUGAUCUGAGUUC